ACUCCUUCGCAAGCGCAUAAACAACAGCGAGAGCUUGAUCUUCACUGGACGGUUUGACGACCUUGGUGAAAUGCACCUUCCAAAGCAGCUCCAUUGCUAUUUCAGAUGGGUAAUACACGGUCCUAUGGAUUUCGCUUCGGAUAAAAAGCUCAGUGAGGUCUACAAGCGGGCAGUCAUCCUGAGACAAAGCACCAUCUCGAUGACCGCCUUACUGACCGCCAGGUGAAGAACAGGAAGUCUGAGGUAUUUCGGACACCAAAAGAAAUGACACAACAGCUUGGCAUUGGUUUGGCAAUACAUCAGUGUAUUAGGAGCAAAUCGAUCGUUAAUAUGCUGCAUGGAUUCGGGAUGUCGGUAGAAUACAAUCGUAUUCUAAGAGCUGAAUCCCAAAUUCAAAAGUACGUGGUCCAGCGCAUGGAACAGAGAAGUGGCCUGUUCAUCCCGCCGGACGUUGUACCUGGAAGCCACAUCUUUAUUGCUGCAGACAACGUGGAUUUUUCCGAAGACAUGAGGAAAUACGACUAGGAUUCUACACCAAAGCUCAGGUGAAUUACUUAAAGUAACACUCUCACAAUAUACAUUAUUUUGCAGUAUUAAUUACAGCUUUCAUUUUAGUUGUUACCAUAGAUUGGAUUCGACGAGAAGCAACGAUCGCUCUGUUAAAGACCUUCCCCAGACAACAAUGCUAGAAUGCCCUGCUCCUAAAACCCCGAAAAGUCCUACCUACCCUUCCUCUAGCUUCAGUGUGGAGGAUCUUCCAAUAACAGUUAUGUUGAAGGAUUUCGCUUGGCUCCUUGUGCGCAAUCUUACGCACUUUCCAGUUGAAGAUGCUAAUGGAGGGAUGAGCCCAUCUCAAGUGCAUGUCUGGGCGGGAUUUAAUUCCCUUGUUAAUGAAUGCCAGCCCCUCACCAGGAUCGGAGCUCCACCGCUACUAGCAGCCCCUGCCCACGUAUGGUCUCACCGCUCUCAUGCAGGCUAAAGGAAUCACUGCUCAUGUCAUGGGCUUCGGUCUCUAGCUCAGCUCAGAACAAGUCCUCUCCCAAGUGACGAGAGCCACAGUGGUGUAGCGAAAUUUGUUUGCCAGGUCUUGGUCCCGAAGACAGAAAUCUUCCCCCUGAAGGAAUUGCGAUGGUGGCUUUUCACCAAGAAACAAGCCAGAUCGCAACAGCUUCCCCCCACUGACGCAACCUUGCAUCAAGCUGUUCUUCGAGGGCAUUAUCAGCUACUCGUCUGGAACAACGAUAACAGUUGCCAACCCAGUCUUACCAUCACCAGAGAAGUAUGGGUGGAAAUGGAACGAUGGCGACAAGGUGUGGGACCCGGUUAUGAUCACAUCACCUCCUGCCCCACAGGCCAUUAUCCAGUUAGUCAAGUGUAAAUGCGCCAAGGACAAGUGCGUCACAAACAGGUGCCAGUGCAAGAAGUCGGGUUUGAAGUGCACAGAUCUCUGUGGUUGCUCAGCCAAUGGGGAAGACUGUCAAAACAAGUCGGGCAACAAUGAUGAGGAAGACAAUGAAGAAGAGAGUGAUUAUGAUGAUGACGACGAUGAUGAUGGCAGCGAUCAUGUAUCCGAUUCAGAGUCUGAGGGCAAGUAACACUGAUGAUAUUUAUCAGGAAUUUUGAUUGAGACAAGGCCUACAUUUGAUGUAUAGUAGUAGAGGGCAUUUCAUGUAAUCCACUGUGUAUUCCGUUCUAUAGGGCAUUUAACAUAGAAUUCAAACUUUUAUCCAGGUAUCAGGUAAUGGCUGCUCUUGGUAAACGCUCUUCAAAAAAAUUAAACAAUUCUCCAAGCAGCACGCCACUCAAGCCUAAAACCAAAUAAGAAAAGGCAGAAAACAACGGUCCGACAGAUAUGGAGAAAUUAAUGACGAUCAUGGAACAGAUAAAUACAAAACUGGACAAAUUGGAAGUUAUCGAAGCAAGACUCACGCACGUGGACGAAGAGAUUCGUGAACUGAAAAUUUCUGUGGAGUCUGCGCAUGAAAAAACUGAGACAGUAGAAAAAAAACGCAACUGACCCAAGAGAGAGCAUUAAACGAUCUUGGAACUCAAGUGAAUAAUACAAGUGCGUUAAUAAAGGAUUUAAAGCAUGAGCUUGUUGACCUCAAAGCGCAGUCCAUGCGAAACAAUCUGAUAUUUUACAACAUGAAUGAAUGCGCGGAGGAAGACCCAUUUGCUGUUGCACAAAAAGUCCUGGUCACUAACUUUAAAUUUAAAGAUGAAGAAGUAAAAGCAAUUGAAAUUGAGCGAGCCCACCGCAUUGGUAGACGGGACCCGAAAAAGGACAAGCCAAGGCCUCUUAUCGCGAGGUUUUUGAGAUUUCAAGACAGAGUCCAUCCGACGAUUGGCCUAUCGACUUAAAGGCACCAACAUUGCUGUGGCCGAACAAUUCCCAAAAGAAAUUGCCGCUGAACGAAAAGAGCUCUAUCCCAUAAUGAAAACUGCAAAGAUGAAGGUCAUAAAGCAAUAAUGGUAAAAGACCAACUCAUUAUAAAUGGCCAGGUGUACAGAGGUUAAACGAUAUAUAUUCUUCUUUCGACACAAUGAUGGGUGGAAUCCUUUUCUAUCGACAUAAUGAUGGGUGAAGAUAUUUUAUGUCACCAUUGUAAUUAUAGUUGUUAGAAAGAUACUAGCAUUUUGUGUCAAUUAUUUCAUCAAAAAUUCCAUCUUAGACCUAAAUGCCUUCAAUUACCGAGUCGAGAAAUAAACACCCUAAAUGCUUCUCAAUUUACAUGUAAAGUAUGUAUUCAUUAUUGUUUCCCUCUUUCAGAUCUUGACUCAAGUGAUUUUAAUAUUGCACUUAGCAAUCGUUUUACUGAGCGAGAUUUAGAAAAACUAGAUAAUUUGGCUUUAAAUCCGUUUUCAGCAUUUGAUAAAGAUAAUGAUAGAGUAAAUAGCUUACUCAAUCCGGAUAAUAACCUUAUAACCCCUGACGUUUUUAAAGGUAGUAAUUAUCACACAACUGAUCAGUUUGUCAAUAUCGAUAAAUCAUCUGGCAUGUGUAAAAAAGAGAUAUCCUUUAUACACCUAAACUUAAGAUCAAUCAAAAAUAAGCUUGAUUCAUAUUUGUUGUACCUAAAUAACGUUGUUAGAAGACGGUAAUGAUGAAUAUUUUACACUUCCGGGAUAUAACCUUACGGCUAUCAACAGGAAAGAAAAGAAUGGCAGUGGCGUUUGUUUCUACACCAAAUCUGAUUUAGACAUAAAAAUACGUACUGAUUUGAAUGAAAAUAAUGACAACAUAGAGUUUAUUGUUUAUUGAAAUUAUUCAUGGAAAUCGUAAGAAUGCAAUUGCCGGGGUAAUUUAUAGACCACCUAAUAAUAAAUAUGAUGCAUUUGAGGAAAGUCUUAGUAGAAUAUUAUUAAAAGCUGAAUCUAAACCAUGUCACCUAAUGGUGUAACUACCUCCCCGCGUAGUUUUGGUUUUCCUGUGUUAGGCCCGGUUACUUAGUAAGACACGAGUCAACAUCAGCCACACAAGCCGUAAGUAAUGUAUUAUUAUUUCACAUUUUCAUGUACUCGCUUACAUUAGUUGACUUUCUUUCUAUACUUAAACUUUUGUAUUGUAGUUUGACGGGUUCCUAGAGGGUUCCUAGAGGAUUCCUAGAGGUUUAUUAUUGUUGAGAGUUUUACAAACAGAAACAAAAAACUGUGCUUGUUAGUUGCACUGUCAAGACGACAGUUACAGUCAAAGACUUGUCUUGUUUUAUGAAGUCAAAAGAACGUUGUUUCUACGAAACAAAAUGAGUUUUGCGAACGGGGAAUCCGAAGAAAGUGUCGAAGCUACAUCGAGUUUUCCCGCCAAUACACCAAAAACACAGGGUACCCAAGAAGAACCAAUUGAGCUCCCGCAGCGUGAGCGCAGAUUUACCGACAAGGGAAUGGAAUUUUUCAGUUCCUUAAAAAGGAAAACAGCUUUAGAAAAUGGGAGAGUGUUUUGAUGCGUUUGUCAAAUUCGAGGACAAAAUCGACCCUUUGUAAGGGACGGACUGAAAUCGAUAAAAACGUGACCUUGUUGUCGGCAUCAGUAUACAACACGAUGGACUCGUGUGUAGCGAUGGCGAGCAAUUCCGAAGAAAUUACUGAAAUAACAGAGAUGCGUAAGGCUCUAAAAAAUAAAUUUACGGAAAUGAAAGCAAAAGCCCAGUUCCAUUCCAGUAGGAUAGGUGCGAACGCAGAAACCUUCUCAACUACCACAUCACUUAAAACUAACAGCACUCUCAGUAGCAGACGUAGUCUCACGGAGCUAAGAGCAAAGAAAGCGGCCCUUAGAAAAAGGAUGGAAUUUUCUACCUUGAUCGCCGAGCAGGAAAGUAGAUUACAACAGCUGAAACUUUGUCAAGAGCUCGAAGAGAUCAGCGCACAAGAAGUAUUCCAGAGGGUUAUUGAGUCAGAAGACAUUCUAGAACCACCGAUCGAGUAAGUUGACAAGCCAAAAGGGGGCCCCGCCGAGCUAACCCCGCAACAAGUAGUUCUCCCUCAGGCAGAGUCCUCGAGCGAAAUGCGCCACACCCAAGCCAUGAAAGACAUGCCCUUAAUGUUCCUGUACCUCCUCCCAUUCUCACGGGCAUGCGCGACAGUCUCGCCACAGGUAACCCGCAACAAGUAGUUCCCCCUCAGGCAGAGUCCUCGAGCGAAAUGCGCCACACGCCACACCCAAGCCAUGAGGGACAUGCGCUUAAUGUUCCGGUACCUCGCCUCAGUCUAACGGCAUGCGCGACAGUCUCGCCACAGGUAACCCGCAACAUGUAGUUCCCCGCAAGCAGAGUCCUAAAGCAAAGUGCGCCACGCGCGACACCCAAGCCACGAAAAGCAUGUGUUUAAGGUUCCUGUUCCUCGCCCCAGUCUCACGAACAAGUGUCUCGCCACAGGAAGCCCACAAGAUCGAGAUUCCGGGAAAAUCUCAAGCCGAGCCGCAUCAAGCCAUCGGCAAUGAUUUAUAUGAAAUUCCAACACCCAGAUCAAGUACCUUAUUUGCCCACGCAGCAGUCAAAACUCCUGCGAGAUUUGUAGUAGAAACGGAAACCUCUUCUUUGGCUUCAGAAGACCCCCAAAAGACAAGCAAGGAAGAGAAGAAUGGUGACGCAAGUCAGUCCCCGCCUGUUUUAGUAGGAUCCAGUGCCCCUCCAUCCACGAAGACCUCUCUGAUUGAUCCUUACCCACUAAGUUCCUUUGGGAACCCUCCUGCGUUCUACCCACCUCACUCGCCUAUGCAAAUUUCCCUUUCGUAAACGGUCGUUGCCAAUUAUAACGGUCGUUGUCAUUCCUGAGAACGGUCGUUGCUAUUUUAAACCGUCGAUACCAAAUCGAAAACCAACCGAACCGAUGACAUCCUUCGUGACUAGUUGGAGAGUGAUUUACGCUCAAGAGUGUUGUAUGACGUCAUUAUUUGGAUGGCUUAAGAUGGCGGACAGACCCGAUUUUCUCAAAGAUCUAAUAUCUUCAGCUAUAAAAGAAGUGCAUUCGAAAAAGAGAUCGUUUGAAUUAUCCGAAAUUACAGAUGAGUAUUUUUUGUCAUCGCUCCCAGAUGAUUCUUUUUACUACCUGAAGUCAAUUUCAGGAAAUAGAGAUAGAAGAAAACCUGGAGCUAUGGAUAUCUGAGUACGAAGUCAUUAAUAACGUUUCCAUCAAGCUCAAGACAAAGAAAAACCCCACGAGUGGCUACGUGCUUCAGAAUUAUUAUAGGUGUCAGCAUAAUACUCGCAACUGGAGCCCAAGUAAGGACCCACA